rfam:Eutrema salsugineum unplaced genomic scaffold scaffold_1, whole genome shotgun sequence.
UAUCUAUGGUGUGGACAAUUUCAUUGGUAUUCCCUAAAUCUUUCCCAAGUAUCUAAAAGAUCUUCAUCUUCUUUUUGUCUAAAAGUUGUUAUCUUGUUUCUUAAGAGA